ACGUUUGUGUGGUGUAUUUCUUCUGUUGGUGAACAGUGUGUUUUUGUUUUGUUAGCUGGAGAGUUCGAUUUGUCGCUUUAUGGUGCGGCUUGUGCUUCUAUCAGUGAAGCGGUUGUGUUCGGUGCUGCCGAUUCGUCGAAGAUUGUGCUACGGGUGUUAGACGGAGCUCGAAUACUAUGUUCGGUAGCAUAUUUGCUCCACGAUUAUGAAAAAGAUUUGAACUUCUUUGCGAUGUUGUUGUUGUUCAAUUUCAAUACUCCCUUUUGUUUUUGCUGUGAAGAAUUUGAUCUAAAUUGAGUGCGCUGGUGUUGUUACCUGAGAGUAAUGGACAAGGAAUGCCUGGGUUAAUGAUUUUUGGUAAAGAGCAGCUUCGUGCAUGAAGCAAUUGUUUUCAGUGGUGGCAAUUCAUCCAAGAUUUCGCUACGAGUGUUAGACGGAGCUCCAAUACUGUGUUCGGUAGCUGUUUUGCUCCACUAUUAUGAAAAAAUUUGAAGUUCUUUGCUAUGUUGGUCAUGAAUUUCAGUGAUCGAUUUCGUUUUUGCUGUGAAGAAGUCAUCUAAAUUCAGUGCGUUGGUGUCGUUAGGUGAGAGCAAUGCAAGGAUGGGCACCUAACAAUGUUGGGAGGAUACUUGGAAUUCUUCGUCAAAUCCUCAUUAGCAAAAACAAACUUGAAGCCAAAAAGACACUUGAGGAAUUAAUUCAGAAGAAUGCUCUGUAACCAAUGAGCUUUUUAUAUUCUUGUGGUUUUUGGUUGUAUACAGCGUAACUAGAUGACCAUCCUAAGUUGGUUUUGUUGAGGCAAUUUGGUGGAGGUAUGUCCAUCCUUUACAUACUAUUAGGCAUGCCUGUUCUACGGUAAUAUGUUGUUUUUUUGUUUUUCAAUGGGUUUGAGUUUCAGUAUUUAAGUAUGACAUGUUCCAAAGCACAAUAACUUCAAUGGCAGCUCAGAUAGACAUCAUAUCAUCUCAAAGGGAGGCCAAUACAGAACAACCAAAUCCACAAAAUGACUGCAACACGUCAGACCAGGACAACUAAAAAUGCAGGUGCACCAUUUUCAAUUAAUGUUGUUGUUCGCAAAGUUCUGCUUAUAGAUUUUGAAAAGAAGACCGUCUACGACUAACAGCUUUUGCUCAAACAUUCCCCUGUGAAUUUCAACCAACCAGAAGAUUAUGGACUACAUAUAUAAACAACAUCGAACAAUAUCAUGUAUAAUGCGACUACAUAUAUGAAGGACUAUGUAUAUCAAGAACCUGAAAUAGUAUCAUGUAUAAUACGACUAUAUGUUUA